rnacentral:rRNA from 1 species
UACGGGGGGAGCUAGCGUUAUUCGGAAUUACUGGGCGUAAAGCGCGUGUAGGCGGAUCGUUAAGUGUCUUGUGAAAUCCCACGGCUCACCCGUGGAACUGCUGGGCAUACUGGCGAUCUUGGGCCAACUAGGGGCAGCCGGAACAAGCGGUGGAGCGGUGAAAUGCGUAGAUAUCGCUUGGAACGCCGAAGGUGAAAACAGGCUGCUGGGGUUGUGCCGACGCUGAGACACGAAAGCCAGGGGAGCAAACGGG